GUAGGUGGCAAGCGUUGUCCGAAAUUAUUGGGCGUAAAGCGCGCGCAGGCGGUUCUUUAAGUCUGAUGUGAAAGCCCACGGGCUCAACCGUGAGGGUCAUUGGAAACUGGAGAACUUGAGUACAGAAGAGGAAAGCGGAAUUCCACGUGUAGCGGUGAAAUGCGUAGAGAUGUGGAGGAACACCAGUGGCGAAGGCGGCUUUCUGGUCUGUAACUGACGCUGAGGCGCGAAAGCGUGGGGAGCAAACAGGAUUAGAUACCCUGGUAGUCCACGCCGUAAACGAUGAGUGCUAAGUGUUAGGGGGGUUUCCGCCCCUUAGUGCUGCAGCUAACGCAUUAAGCACUCCGCCUGGGGAGUACGGCCGCAAAGGCUG
rnacentral:rRNA from 1 species